CAAAGGCCAAAGUUCAAAUUAGAGAGCUGUCGCCUUACAAUCAUUUUUAUAGGGACAUAUUCAAAAACAAAGGCACAAUGAAUGAUAUUAAGGGCAGGUGCGCCACAUUGGGGGAAGAUGCAAAGCAAAAAUACAUUCAAGAGGCAGCAGCACUGAGGGCACAUGGGCAGGCACAGGACCUAAACCCUGAGAUGAGGGAUGCCCGAAUUAAAAUGCACUUAAAGAAGCUGAAGUUAGAGAUAGAGGCAAUUUGUGCUGUGUCUGCCGCGUCCAUUUUGAUGAUAAGAAGAAGAAUGCAAGAAAGAAGUGGCGUUCAUGGUCUCAGUGCACAGUGUGCCAAUCAUGGUCACACACAGCAUGUGGCUUUAAAAAGAACAAGUGCGUUCACUGCCAGGGUCAAGACACCAUGCAAACACCCUGAAGAUGUAUCUUGUUACUUGUUUGGGUUGUUUUUACUGUAUGGACGGCCCCCAACCCAUCCAUACAAACAAACACACACACACAAUACAUACAUAUGCUGCAAAUUUAUUGUAAUGACCAUACUUCACACGUAAGAAGAAAAUUGUGAUCUUUUUGUUAUUUUCAUUCACCCCAAUUUUUAUUUAUUUUUGU